GGAAUCUUCCACAAUGGACGCAAGUCUGAUGGAGCAACGCCGCGUGAGUGAAGAAGAUCUUCGGAUCGUAAAACUCUGUUGUUAGAGAAGAACGUGUGUGAGAGUAACUGUUCAUUCGAUGACGGUAUCUAACCAGCAAGUCACGGCUAACUACGUGCCAG
rnacentral:rRNA from 1 species